rnacentral:rRNA from 1 species
AUUGAACGCUGGCGGCAGGCUUAACACAUGCAAGUCGAGCGGUAACAGAGAGAAGCUUGCUUCUCUGCUGACGAGCGGCGGACGGGUGAGUAAUGCCUAGGAAUCUGCCUAGUAGUGGGGGAUAACUUGCCGAAAGGUAAGCUAAUACCGCAUACGUCCUACGGGAGAAAGGAGGGGACCUUCGGGCCUUUCGCUAUUAGAUGAGCCUGGGUCGGAUUAGUUAGUUGGUGAGGUAAUGGCUCACCAAGACCGCGAUCCGUAACUGGUCUGAGAGGAGGAUCGGUCAGACUGGAGCUGAGACACGGUCCAGACUCCGGCGGGAGGCAGCAGUGGGGAAUGUUGGACGAUGGGGGGAGCCCUGAUCCAGCCAUGCCGCGUGUGUGAAGAAGGUCUUAGGAUUGUAAAGCACUUUAAGUUGGGAGGAAGAGCAGUUAACUAAUAUUUGACUGUUUUGACGUUACCGACAGAAUAAGCACCGGCUAACUUCGUGCCAGCCGCCGCCGUAA